GACGAACGCUGGCGGCGUGCUUAACACAUGCAAGUCGAACGGUAAGGCUCCAGCUUGCUGGGGUACACGAGUGGCGAACGGGUGAGUAACACGUGGGUGACCUGCCCUGCACUUCGGGAUAAGCCUGGGAAACUGGGUCUAAUACCGGAUAGGACCGCACCGUGAGGGUGUGGUGGAAAGUUUUUUCGGUGUGGGAUGGGCCCGCGGCCUAUCAGCUUGUUGGUGGGGUAAUGGCCUACCAAGGCGGCGACGGGUAGCCGGCCUGAGAGGGUGGACGGCCACAUUGGGACUGAGACACGGCCCAGACUCCUACGGGAGGCAGCAGUGGGGAAUAUUGCACAAUGGGCGGAAGCCUGAUGCAGCGACGCCGCGUGGGGGAUGACGGCCUUCGGGUUGUAAACUCCUUUCACCAUCGACGAAGGGUUUCUGACGGUAGAUGGAGAAGAAGCACUGGCUAACUACGUG
rnacentral:rRNA from 1 species